AGUGGCGGCAGCUUUGGACAGUGGCGGCCCGAUAAAUACGCGAACGACGAAUAGGGUGGCGGCAGCUUUGGCACAGCGGCAGCCCGAUGAAUACGCAGGUGAUGAAUAGUAUGGCGGCAGCUUUGGCACAGCGGCGGCCCGAUGAAUGCGCAGGUGACGAAUAUAGUGGCGGCAGCUUUGGACAGUGGCGGCCCGAUGAAUACGCGAACGACGAAUAGGGUGGCGGCAGCUUUGGCACAGCGGCGGCCCGAUGAAUACGUCAGCGGCGAGUAGUAGUGGCGGCAGCUUUGGCACAGCGGCGGCCCGAUGAAUACGUCAGCGGCGAGUAGUA